GCCGAGCUCAUUAGUGUGAGCUUGUAACCCGAGCGGGGGCAAUAAGGUGGUGUGGACGUUGCCGUGGCGCUGCGGGCCUGGUCGGGUUGUGCUAUUGCUGGCCCGCCCGUUCCAAGUUGAGUAGUGGACCGUUUGGGGCCUGUGCAAAAGCUGGGCUUCACGGGCCAUGAUGUGGCAGGCACUGCGCGAGGCUGGUCUCACAGAGCAGCGAUCACUGCCCGCUUCGAACGGUGGAAGGAUAACGGGCUGCUGCCCAACCUGGCCGCUUGGGCCUCGCAGCCCACUCCAACGAACCACCAUUUUU
rnacentral:SRP_RNA from 1 species